GACGAACGCUGGCGGCGUGCUUAACACAUGCAAGUCGAACGGUAAGGCCCCUCCGGAUACACGAGAGGCGAACGGCUGAGUAACACGUGGGUGAUCUGCCCUCCACUUCGGGAUAAGCCUGGGAAACUGGGUCUAAUAACGGCUAGUACCACUGCCUGCAUGGGUGGCGGUCGAAAGCUUUUGCGCUGUGGGUUGGGCCCGCGGCCUAUCAGCUUGUUGGUGGGGUGAUGGCCUACCAAGGCGACGACGGGUAGCCGGCCUGAGAGGGUGACCGGCCACACUGGGACUGAGAUUCGGCCCAGACUCCUACGGGAGGCAGCAGUGGGGAAUAUUGCACAAUGGGCGCAAGCCUGAUGCAGCAACGCCGCGUGAGGGAUGACGGCCUUCGGGUUGUAAACCUCUUUCAGCACCGACGAAGCGCAAGUGACGGUAGGUGCAGAAGAAGGACCGGCCAACUACGUGCCAGCCGCCGCAGUAA
rnacentral:rRNA from 1 species